GCGACUGUAGCUCAGUUGGCAGAGCACCUGGUUGUGGUCCAGGAAGGCGGGGGUUCGAGUCCCCUCAGUCGCC
rnacentral:tRNA from 1 species